GUGGCUCGAUACUCGGAUCACUUAUCAGAUUCUACCACCUCUGUGAACCGUUGACCUCCGGGUUAAUAAUCAAACCUCAGCGUUACGAACGUAACACUAUCUUAAAUAAACAAAACUUUUAACAACGGAUCUCUUGGCUCUCGCAUCGAUGAAAAACUCAACCUAAUGCCAUAAGUAAUGUGGAUUGCAGAAUUCAGUGAAUCCUCGAAUCUUUGAACGCACCUUGGGCCUUUUGGUAUUCCGAAAGGCAUGCCUGUUUCAGUGUCCUGAAAUCUCCCUCUAAUAUGUUUUCUGAACAUGUUAGGCUUGGACUUGGGUGUCUGCCAGCAAUGGCUCACCUCAAAUGACUUAGUGGAACAUCCCACAUCAGUGUUACACGUAAUAAGUUUCGUCUCUCCUUGUGGUGAUGACUGCUCAAAACCUGCCAUCGCGCACCUUUUGACUUUGACCUGAAAUCAGGUAGGGCUACCCGCUGAACUUAAGCAUAUCAAUA
rnacentral:rRNA from 1 species